AGACUUCUACGGGAGGCAGCAGUGGGGAAUAUUGCACAAUGGGCGAAAGCCUGAUGCAGCGACGCCGCGUGAGGGAUGACGGCCUUCGGGUUGUAAACCUCUUUCAGUAGGGAAGAAGCGAAAGUGACGGUACCUGCAGAAGAAGCGCCGGCUAACUACGUGCCAGCAGCCGCGGUAAUACGUAGGGCGCAAGCGUUAUCCGGAAUUAUUGGGCGUAAAGAGCUCGUAGGCGGUUUGUCGCGUCUGCUGUGAAAGACCGGGGCUCAACUCCGGUUCUGCAGUGGGUACGGGCAGACUAGAGUGAUGUAGGGGAGACUGGAAUUCCUGGUGUAGCGGUGAAAUGCGCAGAUAUCAGGAGGAACACCGAUGGCGAAGGCAGGUCUCUGGGCAUUAACUGACGCUGAGGAGCGAAAGCAUGGGGAGCGAACAGGAUUAGAUACCCCCGUAGUC
rnacentral:rRNA from 1 species